rnacentral:lncRNA from 1 species
UGAGAGGUGACGAUGAUGAGUCAGCCGCUGUGACGCGGCCCCCCGGGGACCUCCACGAUGGUGCCACCUCCAUGUGGCCACGGCCUCGGGGACCGUCACGGCCUCGGGGACCGCUGUGGCCUUGGGGACCUCCACAACGGUGCCACCUCGGGGACCUCCACAUGGCCACGGCCUUGGGGACCUCCACGGUCCCGUGGCCUCAGGACUUCCACAGCGUCGUGGCCUUGGGGACUUCCACGAUGGUGCCGUCUCGGGGACCUCCAUGGGGCCAUGGCCUUGGGGAUCUCCCCAGCGUCAUGGCCUUGGGUACCUCCGCAGGGCUGUGACCGUGGGGACCUCCCUGGCGUCACGGCCUCAGGGAUCUCCCUGGUGUUGUGGCCUCAAGGUCCUCCAUGGUGUCAUGGCCUUGGGGACCUCUGUGGUGUCGUGGCCUUGGGGACCUCCGUGGUGUCGUGGCCUUGGGAUCCUCCGUGGCGUUGUGGCCUCAGGGUCCUCCAUGGCACCAGGCUGUGCUGAGUUAGGACUUUCUCUCUCUCUCUCUCUCUCUCUCUCUCUCUCUCUCUCUCUCUCUCUCUCUCUCUUUUCCCCCUUCACCCCCUACCGCAUGCGUCGGUGUUUUAUAGAAGCAAAUUACUCGUCUUGCAGCCAAAGAGGGCCGGAGCGGGAGGGAAGGGAGGCAGCCGCCCCCCGGCCCCGUGCCCGGCGGCCCCCUCUCCCGAGGCUCCUCGGACAUAUACCUCAUAGAUGUGCGCUCAACCAAAUAGGCCUCGGCCCGCCGGCUUCGGCCGGCCCGCGGCGCCCAGCAGCGUGCCGGUUCCAGGUCACCCUUGUGGUUCUAGGUUGGUCUUGGCGGAGGAGGCUGGCGGGGCUGUGGUGGAGGUGGCCACCCCGGCUCGCUCUGGCAGCGAGUGCGAGUGGCUCUUGCGUGCUCGGUGGCUCCUCGGGUCUUGGUGGCUCCUCGGUUCUCAGUGGCUCUUCGGUUCUUGGUGUAUCUCCAGUUCUUGGUGCGUCUCUGGUUCUUGGUGCAUCUCUGCCUGGUGUGUCUCCAGUUCAUGGUAGCUUUCUGGCUCACAGCGUGUCUCUGGUUCUCGGUGGCUUUCCGGUUCUUGGUGGCUCUCCGGUUCUUGGUGUGUCUCCUGUUCUCGGUGCAUCUCCGGUUCUCGGUGGCUCUCUGGUUCCUGCUGCGUCUCCGGUUCUCGGUGUGUCUCCAGUUCUCGGUGUGUCUCCGGUUCUCAGUGCAUCUCCGGUUCUUGGUGCAUCUCUAGUUCUUGGGUCCCCGUGAGCUCCAGGCUGGAGGAUGCUGUACGAGGAGCAUGGGGGGGG